UACGAAGGGGGCUAGCGUUGCUCGGAAUGACUGGGCGUAAAGCGUGCGCAGGCGGUUUUGUAAGUCAGAUGUGAAAUCCCCGGGCUUAACCUGGGAACUGCGUUUGAAACUACAAGGCUAGAGUGUGACAGAGGGGGGUGGAAUUCCACGUGUAGCAGUGAAAUGCGUAGAGAUCAUGAGGAAGACCAGUGGCGAAGGCGGGUCUCUGGACAGUUCCUGACACUGAGGCACGAAGGCCAGGGGAGCAAACGGG
rnacentral:rRNA from 1 species